GGCAUAGCUCAGUGAUGGAGCCUCUGCUCUGCAUGCAGAAAAUCCCAGGUUCAAUCCCAAGUAUCUCCA